rnacentral:rRNA from 1 species
CAGCAGCCGCGGGAAUACGUAGGUCCCGAGCGUUGUCCGGAUUUAUUGGGCGUAAAGCGAGCGCAGGCGGUUAGAUAAGUCUGAAGUUAAAGGCUGUGGCUUAACCAUAGUACGCUUUGGAAACUGUUUAACUUGAGUGCAAGAGGGGAGAGUGGAAUUCCAUGUGUAGCGGUGAAAUGCGUAGAUAUAUGGAGGAACACCGGUGGCGAAAGCGGCUCUCUGGCUUGUAACUGACGCUGAGGCUCGAAAGCGUGGGGAGCAAACAGGAUUAGAUACCCGGGUAGUCCCUGUCUCUUAUACC